GGACUGUGUGUUUGGACGUAAUGAUCAGUCCUGGACUCUGAUCUGCUCUGAUGGUUCUUGUUACUCUGUCUGUCACAAUAACAGACAAACAUUCCGUCCU